UACGGGGGGGGCAAGCGUUGUUCGGAAUUACUGGGCGUAAAGGGCUCGUAGGCGGCCAACUAAGUCAGACGUGAAAUCCCUCGGCUUAACCGGGGAACUGCGUCUGAUACUGGAUGGCUUGAGAUUGGGAGAGGGAUGCGGAAUUCCAGGUGUAGCGGUGAAAUGCGUAGAUAUCUGGAGGAACACCGGUGGCGAAGGCGACAUCCUGGACAAACACUGACGCUGAGGAGCGAAAGCCAGGGGAGCAAACGGG
rnacentral:rRNA from 1 species